rnacentral:lncRNA from 1 species
UUUUUUCAAUUGCUUUUCAAACAUGAAUAUUUAGUAACAAAAUAAAUAAGAGUGGAUUUGUACAAUAAACUUAAAGCCAUAAAAAUAUAUUAAUGAAAUUUGACGAGAUUCCCAAUAUAUAUUCAUGGGCAGACAAUAAAUGAAUUCUCCUCCACAAAAGAAAACAAUUGCAGAAUUUGCAGGCUCAGGGAUCCAACAACAUGGAUCUGAUCUUGGAAGAGCUUCAGACAAAUAGGUCUGUGUAGAGGACAACGUCAGAAACAGCAUGCAGAGCUGUGUUCUCAUUAGGAUGUCCACCAACAAUUGAUUAUUCUCAUUAGUAUGAUGAAAAGAAGCAGAGAAAGCUCUUGAAAAGGAAAGACCAGAGGGUUUAAGCAGCUGCAGCCUCCAAGAGCUCUCUCUC